AUUGAACGCUGGCGGCGGGCCUAACACAUGCAAGUCGAGCGGAUGAAGGGAGCUUGCUCCUGGAUUCAGCGGCGGACGGGUGAGUAAUGCCUAGGAAUCUGCCUAGUAGUGGGGGAUAACGUCCGGAAACGGGCGCUAAUACCGCAUACGUCCUGAGGGAGAAAGUGGGGGAUCUUCGGACCUCACGCUAUCAGAUGAGCCUAGGUCGGAUUAGCUAGUUGGUGGGGUAAAGGCCUACCAAGGCGACGAUCCGUAACUGGUCUGAGAGGAUGAUCAGUCACACUGGAACUGAGACACGGUCCAGACUCCUACGGGAGGCAGCAGUGGGGAAUAUUGGACAAUGGGCGAAAGCCUGAUCCAGCCAUGCCGCGUGUGUGAAGAAGGUCUUCGGAUUGUAAAGCACUUUAAGUUGGGAGGAAGGGCAGUAAGUUAAUACCUUGCUGUUUUGACGUUACCAACAGAAUAAGCACCGGCUAACUUCGUG
rnacentral:rRNA from 1 species